CUUUGUCGAGUCUAAAUAGUCCUAAAGACUUCACCAUAACACAAGAGUUCAUUAGAAUAUAAAAUAAUUUAUGAUGAAAAAUACUAAAAUAAUUUUUAUUAAUUUAUAAUUCAUAUACUAAUACAAGAAAGAGCACGACCGUCAAUAGGCUGACGAUUGACUUUGGGACACUAUUCCCAACAUCCCUCCCACCAGUCUCACUUACCUGGCCAUAUGUGUCGACUCAGUUCUGAUUUGAGGUGGCUAACAAUUCGAGCUAACCCAUGCCACUAGGUUAGUCAUAAUUGUUAUGACUAUGUCAAGUCAAGUUUAAUGAGACCUAAAUCAAAUCUCCCUAAGAAAAUAUUAAGUCUAAGGUCUUCUACCAUUGUGGAUGUGCAGGCCCUUC
rnacentral:lncRNA from 1 species